rnacentral:rRNA from 1 species
AGUGAACGCUGGCGGUAGGCCUAACACAUGCAAGUCGAACGGCAGCACAGUAAGAGCUUGCUCUUACGGGUGGCGAGUGGCGGACGGGUGAGGAAUACAUCGGAAUCUACUUUUUCGUGGGGGAUAACGUAGGGAAACUUACGCUAAUACCGCAUACGACCUACGGGUGAAAGCAGGGGAUCUUCGGACCUUGCGCGAUUGAAUGAGCCGAUGUCGGAUUAGCUAGUUGGCGGGGUAAAGGCCCACCAAGGCGACGAUCCGUAGCUGGUCUGAGAGGAUGAUCAGCCACACUGGAACGGAGACACGGUCCAGGCUCCUACGGGAGGCACCAGUGGGGAAUAUUGGACAAUGGGCGCAAGCCUGAUCCAGCCAUACCGCGUGGGUGAAGAAGGCCUUCGGAUUGUAAAGCCCUUUUAUUGGGAAAGAAAAGCAGCAGGUUAAUACCCCGCUGUUCUGACGGUACCCAAAGAGUAAGCACCGGCUAACUUCGUG